rnacentral:tRNA from 1 species
GCCAUCGUAGCUCAGUCGGUAGAGCGCACCCAUGGUAAGGGUGAGGUCCCCGGUUCAAUCCCGGGCGAUGGCU